ACGGGUGAGUAACACGUGGGAACAUGCCCUUCGGUUCGGAAUAACUCAGGGAAACUUGAGCUAAUACCGGAUACGUCCGCGAGGAGAAAGAUUCAUCGCCGAAGGAUUGGCCCGCGUCUGAUUAGCUAGUUGGUGAGGUAACGGCUCACCAAGGCGACGAUCAGUAGCUGGUCUGAGAGGAUGAUCAGCCACAUUGGGACUGAGACACGGCCCAAACUCCUACGGGAGGCAGCAGUGGGGAAUAUUGGACAAUGGGCGAAAGCCUGAUCCAGCCAUGCCGCGUGAGUGAUGAAGGCCCUAGGGUUGUAAAGCUCUUUUACCUGGGAAGAUAAUGACGGUACCAGGAGAAUAAGCCCCGGCUAACUUCGUGCCAGCAGCCGCGGUAAUACGAAGGGGGCUAGCGUUGUUCGGAAUCACUGGGCGUAAAGAGCACGUAGGCGGAUCUUUAAGUCAGGGGUGAAAUCCCGAGGCUCAACCUCGGAACUGCCUUUGAUACUGGGGAUCUCGAGUCCGGGAGAGGUGAGUGGAACUGCGAGUGUAGAGGUGAAAUUCGUAGA
rnacentral:rRNA from 1 species